rnacentral:rRNA from 1 species
UAGGGAAUAUUGCACAAUGGGGGAAACCCUGAUGCAGCAACGCCGCGUGAGUGAUGAAGGCCUUCGGGUUGUAAAACUCUUUUCUGAGGGAUGAGGAAGGACAGUACCUUAGGAAUAAGUCUCGGCUAACUACGUGCCAGCAGCCGCGGUAAAACGUAGGAGGCGAGCGUUAUCCGGAUUUACUGGGCGUAAAGGGCAAGUAGGCGGUGGUCAAAGUUGGGCGUGACAGAUCCUGGCUUAACUGGGAGAGGUCGUUCAAAACUAGAUCACUAGAGGGCAGGAGAGGGGAGCGGAAUUCCUAGUGUAGCGGUGGAAUGCUCAGAUAUUAGGAAGAACACCAGUGGCGAAAGCGGCUUUCUGGCCUGCACCUGACGCUAAGGGGCGAAAGCUAGGGGAGCGAACGG